UGAUGUUUCAUUUGGUGAGGAAAGGAAAUCAAUCGCCCAAGAGAAUUCUUUCUAUUCGCAAUAACUGGGUGAAUAGUAAUGUAAACACACACAGUGGCUUCGUUUAUAAGGAACUUUUAUCCUACCUUAUUACAUCAGCAGCUUUAGCACAGAACACCAACGCGCCAGGCAUCUAGCACACCAUCAUCCUAGUUGUGGGUUCGAAUCCUGAUUCCUGUGAUAGGUCACAAUCGUGCAUUUGCCUUUUUUGUAUUUUUCUUUUUUCGUUUUGUUGUAUUUUUUUCCUUUUUUUUGUAAAUAAUUAUGCUUAACAUUAGUUUAAAUUUAUAUUUAUAAAUAUGUAAAUAAUAUUCCUAUAUUCCCUAUCCCAAGAUACCAGUUACCCUCAAUAUAAAUAAAAAUGAAUUAAAAAAAAAUGAAUUUGUAAAUAGAAAUAAUUUAAAUUUGAAUUUUAUACCCAUCCAACUAAACCCCUGGUAUCCCAUCAUCAAAAUCCUUCCCAUCCAUAUAUGCACUGAUGCAUGGCGCCCAGUACCAACUGUGCGAAGACAAAUCCCUCCCGGGAAAUGUUCUACCAUUUGGUUUUGCUGCAUCAUCAAGUCCUAUAAAAAGGAUAUGCAGGCCCAGGAAAAGAAUCUUUUUGGAACUAAAUUCCUAACCGUGUCUCGUGAGUGCAACCGCCGAUCUCUCAUACCAGUGCCGAAAUAGUGGAGUCAUCAUCCAAGUGCGGAAUAAGCGGAACGAAGGCGUCCAGAUCCGGCUUCAGGUGGCCCAGACACGAAGUGACCGACGUCAGAAGACACAGAGGUCGGGUAAGCCCGCAAAACGUUGGAAUCAAGUGAAACUAAAUGUGCACAUCCUUUACUAUCCUAUGAAUUUCCCUCCAAAAUAAAUAAAUUUAUUGUUUAAAAUUUGAAUUUCCAA